UUGCAAUAGGGAUAGAAACGGAAAUCCCGGAAUCUCGUCCUCAAGACGAGAUGAGGAGUUGCAGUGGAUAGCCCGACCCGAG
rnacentral:misc_RNA from 1 species